rnacentral:rRNA from 1 species
AGAGUUUGAUUCCUGGCUCAGGACGAACGCUGGCGGCGUGCCUAAUACAUGCAAGUCGAGCGGACAGAAGGGAGCUUGCUCCCGGAUGUUAGCGGCGGACGGGUGAGUAACACGUGGGUAACCUGCCUGUAAGACUGGGAUAACUCCGGGAAACCGGAGCUAAUACCGGAUAGUUCCUUGAACCGCAUGGUUCAAGGAUGAAAGACGGUUUCGGCUGUCACUUACAGAUGGACCCGCGGCGCAUUAGCUAGUUGGUGAGGUAACGGCUCACCAAGGCGACGAUGCGUAGCCGACCUGAGAGGGUGAUCGGCCACACUGGGACUGAGACACGGCCCAGACUCCUACGGGAGGCAGCAGUAGGGAAUCUUCCGCAAUGGACGAAAGUCUGACGGAGCAACGCCGCGUGAGUGAUGAAGGUUUUCGGAUCGUAAAGCUCUGUUGUUAGGGAAGAACAAGUGCAAGAGUAACUGCUUGCACCUUGACGGUACCUAACCAGAAAGCCACGGCUAAUUACGUGCCAGCAGCCGCGGUAAUACGUAGGUGGCAAGCGUUGUCCGGAAUUAUUGGGCGUAAAGGGCUCGCAGGCGGUUUCUUAAGUCUGAUGUGAAAGCCCCCGGCUCAACCGGGGAGGGUCAUUGGAAACUGGGAAACUUGAGUGCAGAAGAGGAGAGUGGAAUUCCACGUGUAGCGGUGAAAUGCGUAGAGAUGUGGGAGGAACACCAGUGGCGAAGGCGACUCUCUGGUCUGUAACUGACGCUGAGGAGCGAAAGCGUGGGGAGCGAACAGGAUUAGAUACCCUGGUAGUCCACGCCGUAAACGAUGAGUGCUAAGUGUUAGGGGGUUUCCGCCCCUUAGUGCUGCAGCUAACGCAUUAAGCACUCCGCCUGGGGAGUACGGUCGCAAGACUGAAACUCAAAGGAAUUGACGGGGGCCCGCACAAGCGGUGGAGCAUGUGGUUUAAUUCGAAGCAACGCGAAGAACCUUACCAGGUCUUGACAUCCUCUGACAACCCUAGAGAUAGGGCUUUCCCUUCGGGGACAGAGUGACAGGUGGUGCAUGGUUGUCGUCAGCUCGUGUCGUGAGAUGUUGGGUUAAGUCACGCAACGAGCGCAACCCUUGA